CCUACGGGAGGCAGCAGUGAGGAAUAUUGGUCAAUGGACGAGAGUCUGAACCAGCCAAGUAGCGUGAAGGAUGACUGCCCUAUGGGUUGUAAACUUCUUUUGUAAAGGAAUAAAACGAGGCACGUGUGCCUUUUUGCAUGUACUUUAUGAAUAAGCAUCGGCUAACUCCGUGCCAGCAGCCGCGGUAAUACGGAGGAUCCGAGCGUUAUCCGGAUUUAUUGGGUUUAAAGGGAGCGUAGAUGGGUUGUUAAGUCAGUUGUGAAAGUUUGCGGCUCAACCGUAAAAUUGCAAUUGAUACUGGCAGUCUUGAGUACAGUUGAGGUAGGCGGAAUUCGUGGUGUAGCGGUGAAAUGCUUAGAUAUCACGAAGAACCCCGAUUGCGAAGGCAGCGUACUAGACUGUGACUGACAUUGAUGCUCGAAAGUGUGGGUAUCAAACAGGAUUAGAUACCCUUGUAGUC
rnacentral:rRNA from 1 species